CUUUGUUUUCUUUUUAUGUUAGAUUAUUUAAAGCAAGAAGAAUAAAAGAUAGAUUUUAAUUAAAUUAAUUAGAUAUGAAGAGAUUUAUAGAAUCUAACUAAAUGAGAAGUAAACUAUGCUAAAUUUAAAAAGAUAACUAGGUAACCUACAAAUAAAACAAGAACUUAAAUCUACUUUAAGAGUAGUAAAUUAUUCUAAACUAUAAAAAAUAAUAGAUCACCAGGC
rnacentral:lncRNA from 1 species